rnacentral:sRNA from 1 species
CUCGAGAGGGGCUUUCUGUUCGCAGCGGAGGGUCUCAGCGGCUACGCGGUGCGGUACUUGAAGCCCGACGUGACCCAGACCUGGCGGUACUGCCUCAACCAGAACCCCAGCCUGGACCGCUACGGACAGAAGCCCCUGCCUUUCGACUCCCUGAACACUUUCCGAAGCUUCGGCUCCAGCUACAGGUAGGGGAACGGUCCUGUCCCGCCCCACAGCCAACCACGUUCCCAUCCGACUGCUGGGGACAGCCUCGGGGCUCCCUGACUCUGAAACCCCCCUGCCCCAGCGAGGCCUGGCGAGGAGGAGGGGCCCUCCUGGGAGGGCGCGAGCUGCUUCGCUCUGGAGAGAUCCGCCCCUGGCAAAUGUGCAGCCCACUGGGGUGGGGGUGGACGCGGGAGGGGGUCCACAUCCCACCAGGUUUGACUGGAGGAGGCCAAAAGGAUAGGGCGAGGAUGUUACCUAGAAGGAGAGAAAACAGACAAAUAAGAAACACAAGGGAGAGAGCCAAGAAUCUGCCUUUUAGGGUGCGGAGAGGCCCUAAGGGAGGGGGCUAAGUGGUCUUCCCGGCAGGGUCGCCCCACAAGUAAAGAGAUAAGAUAAGAACAAGAGUUCUUAUCUCCAAGAUAAGCACCUCUUGCAAGAGGUUGCAGGAUACUCAAACAUUUUCAUAACUAAGCCAUCUCUCACCCUCCCGGCCCCACUUUGUACACUCCAGCAAGACUAGACUCCCCCGAAACCCAGCAGACCAAGCACUCUUCACACCUUUGCCUGUGCUGUUUCAGCGCCUAGAUGUCCCUUCCUCCUCUGCCUGGAAAACUCCUUCGUGCCAUUAUUAUUAUUAUUAUUAUUAUUAUUAUUAUUAUUAUUAUUAUUGAGACGGAGUCUCACUCUGUCGCCCAGGCUAGAGUGCAAUGGCCUGAUCUCAGUUCACUGCAACCUCCGCCUCCCGGGUUCAAGCAAUUCUCCUGCCUCAGCUUUCUGAGUAGCUGGGAUUACAGGUGCGCGCGACCAAGCUCGGCUAAUUUUUGUAUUUUUAGUAGAGAUGGGGUUUCACCAUGUUGGUCAGGCUGGUCUCGAACUCCUGACCUCAUGAUCCACCCACCUCAGCCUCCCAAAGUAUUGGGAUUACAGGCGUGAGCUAUGGUGCCCGGCCUCCUUCAUGCUCUUCAAAGCCCAGCCCAGAUGUGCCAUCCUCCUUGAAGUCUUCCCCCACCCUCUGCCUCUCCCCACCGGCUCACACUCCCUCCCAUUGGUCACUACCUUUGUGUCCCUGAGUAUUGAGUGCAAUACUCAGACUAUUGCACUGUCAUUAUUGACAGAAACUAGCCUUCCCGUCUCCCACACGGGGAAACGUUUCUGGGUUUUGCUACCAUAUGAUGCCUAACAGAGUAGGUUCACUAAAUGAUUGAAAAAUGGGUGAAGCUCUUCAUAGUUAGGUAUCAAUGGGAGAGAAGGAUGAGGCACAGUCAAAGGAGGGAGGUUAGCUUGAAAGCUAAGGAGGACAGCUGAAAAUACAGAAAACAGGGAGCCACUGAAGUCUCCUGAGCCACAUAGAGGCUGGCUGGAAGCUGUGUUUUCAGAUCCUAGAGGGGAAAAGCCUGAUUUUUCCCCUAGGACACCCUGGAAACCCCCACCUCACCCCUACUUCUCUCCACAGUCGUGUCAACUACCUGACCCCCUGGCAUUAAUCUUUGGAAAGGAGGCUGACUCCCAGGCUGCCGGACAGUGCCACCUCAGGUCCCCUGGCCAGACCGAGGACUUAUGGUGGCACCAGCCAUCUCCCCAGGAGUUCAGCCUAACUAGAAAUAAACCUAAUGUUCCCUUAGAGACACACGCAAUUGUCUCUGUCUGUGUGUGUUGCACAGCCUGGGAGAAGGUCAGGGCCACAGGAUGACAGUAUCUUACCCUUGCCCAUCCCCGGCCAACUCCUGGAGGACUAGUGGGGGGUUGGAGAAAAAUGUUUGGUGACCUGGUUUGAGAGUCAGGGUGUAAGCCGCAAGGUCCAGCCAGAAUUGAGGUCCAAGAGCAAGAGGUGUGCUCCGGCCCCUUGCCUGCAGCCCCACACCCAAGCCCCCUCCAUUUCAGAUCGUGAAUUUGAGCCCUAAGAAGAAAGGGAGGGGCUGGAAAGCUAUUUUUAGGUGCCUUUUUGAAGCUCUUGUCAUACUGGUGUGCUCUGGGGGGCUUCCCUGUGCCUGGGGUCCCCCUGAAGGUGUGGGAGCAGGCUGGGGCAAGGGGAGCUGGCCAGGCCUAUGGCCUUGAUUACUGUGACGCAACAGAAUGUAGAGUCUAAACUUGCAUGAGAUGCAUGAAGCCACUCAGAGAAGAAAGUUCCCCGCUCUCCAAAGCACCACCAAUAAACAUGUCAUUUAAGCAAAAA